UACGAAGGGGGCUAGCGUUGCUCGGAAUCACUGGGCGUAAAGCGCACGUAGGCGGGUCUUUAAGUCAGGGGUGAAAUCCUGGAGCUCAACUCCAGAACUGCCUUUGAUACUGAGGAUCUCGAGUCCGGGAGAGGUGAGUGGAACUCCGAGUGUAGAGGUGAAAUUCGUAGAUAUUCGCAAGAACACCAGUGGCGAAGGCGGCUUACUGGUCCGGUUCUGACGCUGAGGCGCGAAAGCGUGGGGAGCAAACAGG
rnacentral:rRNA from 1 species